GAUGAACGCUAGCGACAGGCCUAACACAUGCAAGUCGAGGGGCAGCACAUGAGUAGCAAUACGAUGGUGGCGACCGGCGCACGGGUGAGUAACACGUAUGCAACCUACCUGUAAGAGGGGAAUAACCCGGAGAAAUUCGGACUAACACCGCAUAAUACCGAUUAACUGCAUGGUUGAUCGGUUAAAUAUUUAUAGCUUACAGAUGGGCAUGCGUAACAUUAGAUAGUUGGUGAGGUAACGGCUCACCAAGUCAACGAUGUUUAGGGGUUCUGAGAGGAAGGUCCCCCACACUGGUACUGAGACACGGACCAGACUCCUACGGGAGGCAGCAGUGAGGAAUAUUGGUCAAUGGGCGAGAGCCUGAACCAGCCAAGUCGCGUGAAGGAAGAAGGUUCUAUGGAUUGUAAACUUCUUUUGUAAGGGAAUAAAAAGAGUUACGUGUAACUUAUUGUAUGUACUUUACGAAUAAGGAUCGGCUAACUCCGUG
rnacentral:rRNA from 1 species